rnacentral:rRNA from 1 species
GCACGGGUGGCGUAACACGUAUGUAACCUUUCCUUAACUUGGAGAAUAGCUCCGAGAAAUCGGGAUUAAUACUCCAUAACACUGCGAAGUGGCAUCACUUUGCAAUUAAAGCUCCGGCGGUUAAGGGCGGGCAUGCGUCCCAUUAGCUAGUUGGCGAGGUAACGGCUCACCAAGGCUACGAUGGGUAGGGGUUCUAAGAGGAUUUACCCCCACACUGGCACUGAGAUACGGGCCAGACUCCUACGGGAGGCAGCAGUAAGGAAUAUUGGUCAAUGGGCGCAAGCCUGAACCAGCCAUGCCGCGUGUAGGAUGAAGGUCCUACGGAUUGUAAACUACUUUUGUACGGGAAAAAACCCCUCGUUUCUACGAGGGUUGAUGGUACUGUAAGAAUAAGGAUCGGCUAACUCCGUGCCAGCAGCCGCGGUAAUACGGAGGAUCCAAGCGUUAUCCGGAUUCACUGGAUUUAAAGGGUGCGUAGGCGGAAUGAUAAGUCAGUGGUGAAAAACCUAAGUUAAUGUAGAAACGCAUUGAUACUAUUAUUCUUGAGUGUAUUGGGAUGUGAAUUGGAAUGUGUCGUGUACGGUGAAAUGUUUAAG